AGUUAAUGAGCUUGAAUAAGCAUAUGUUUUGAAAACAUAAUAUAGAAAUAACUAAUUUUCUAUUGACUU
rnacentral:tRNA from 1 species